rnacentral:rRNA from 1 species
AACGAACGCUGGCGGCAUGCCUAACAUAUGCAAGUCGAACGAGACCUUCGGGUCUAGUGGCGCACGGGUGCGUAACGCGUGGGAAUCUGCCCUUGGGUUCGGAAUAACAGCGAGAAAUUGCUGCUAAUACCGGAUGAUGACGUAAGUCCAAAGAUUUAUCGCCCAAGGAUGAGCCCGCGUAGGAUUAGCUAGUUGGUGAGGUAAAGGCUCACCAAGGCGACGAUCCUUAGCUGGUCUGAGAGGAUGAUCAGCCACACUGGGACUGAGACACGGCCCAGACUCCUACGGGAGGCAGCAGUGGGGAAUAUUGGACAAUGGGCGAAAGCCUGAUCCAGCAAUGCCGCGUGAGUGAUGAAGGCCUUAGGGUUGUAAAGCUCUUUUACCCGGGAUGAUAAUGACAGUACCGGGAGAAUAAGCU